rnacentral:rRNA from 1 species
AGUGAACGCUGGCGGUAGGCCUAACACAUGCAAGUCGAAUGGCAGCACAGUAAGAGCUUGCUCUUACGGGUGGCGAGUGGCGGACGGGUGAGGAAUACAUCGGAUUCUACUUUUUCGUGGGGGAUAACGUAGGGAAACUUACGCUAAUACCGCAUACGACCUACGGGUGAAAGCAGGGGAUCUUCGGACCUUGCGCGAUUGAAUGAGCCGAUGUCGGAUUAGCUAGUUGGCGGGGUAAAGGCCCACCAAGGCGACGAUCCGUAGCUGGUCUGAGAGGAUGAUCAGCCACACUGGAACUGAGACACGGUCCAGACUCCUACGGGAGGCAGCAGUGGGGAAUAUUGGACAAUGGGCGCAAGCCUGAUCCAGCCAUACCGCGUGGGUGAAGAAGGCCUUCGGGUUGUAAAGCCCUUUUGUUGGGAAAGAAAAGCAGCAGGUUAAUACCCCGCUGUUCUGACGGUACCCAAAGAAUAAGCACCGGCUAACUUCGUG